CGCGUAGGCGGCUUGGCAAGCCAGAUGUGAAAGCCCCGGGCUUAACCCGGGAAUUGCAUCUGAAACUGCUUUGCUUGAGUCCUGGAUGGGAUAGUGGAAUUCCCAGUGUAGCGGUGAAAUGCGUAGAUAUUGGGAGGAACACCUGCGGCGAAGGCGGCUAUCUGGACAGUGACUGACGCUGAGGCGCGAAAGCUAGGGGAGCGAACGGGAUUAGAUACCCCGGUAGUCCUAGCCGUAAACGAUGGGCACUUGGUGUUGGGGGUAUUGAGUCCCUCGGUGCCGGAGUUAACACGUUAAGUGCCCCGCCUGGGGAGUACGGUCGCAAGACUGAA
rnacentral:rRNA from 1 species